UGCANGUCGAACGGUAGCAGGAAGUGCUUGCACUUUGCUGACGAGUGGCGGACGGGUGAGUAAUGCUUGGGAACUUGCCUUUGCGAGGGGGAUAACAGUUGGAAACGACUGCUAAUACCGCAUAAUGUCUACGGACCAAACGGGGCUUAGGCUUCGGCGCAGAGAGAGGCCCAAGUGAGAUUAGCUAGUUGGUGGGGUAAAGGCUCACCAAGGCGACGAUCUCUAGCUGUUCUGAGAGGAAGAUCAGCCACACUGGGACUGAGACACGGCCCAGACUCCUACGGGAGGCAGCAGUGGGGAAUAUUGCACAAUGGGGGGAACCCUGAUGCAGCCAUGCCGCGUGUGUGAAGAAGGCCUUCGGGUUGUAAAGCACUUUCAGUUGUGAGGAAAAGUGAGUAGUUAAUACCUGCUCACCGUGACGUUAACAACAGAAGAAGCACCGGCUAACUCCGUGCCAGCAGCCGCGGUAAUACGGAGGGUGCGAGCGUUAAUCGGAAUUACUGGGCGUAAAGCGCACGCAGGCGGUUUGUUAAGCUAGAUGUGAAAGCCCCGAGCUCAACUUGGGAUGGUCAUUUAGAACUGGCAGACUAGAGUCUUGGAGAGGGGAGUGGAAUUCCAGGUGUAGCGGUGAAAUGCGUAGAUAUCUGGAGGAACAUCAGUGGCGAAGGCGACUCCCUGGCCAAAGACUGACGCUCAUGUGCGAAAGUGUGGGUAGCGAACAGGAUUAGAUACCCUGGUAGUCCACACCGUAAACGCUGUCUACUAGCUGUUUGUGGCUUUAAGCCGUGAGUAGCGAAGCUAACGCGAUAAGUAGACCGCCUGGGGAGUACGGCCGCAAGGUUAAAACUCAAAUGAAUUGACGGGGGCCCGCACAAGCGGUGGAGCAUGUGGUUUAAUUCGAUGCAACGCGA
rnacentral:rRNA from 1 species